UUUGCCUCUAUAUAUAUACAUAGCCUUGGACGAAAAUUCCUUAUUUCUUCACCAUAAAAGGACUAGAAAACCCUAAGUAAUAUUCUCAAACCUUCUCCCAUCAAUCACAAACAUUCCUAAAAGCAAAUCAAACAACUUCAACAUGGAGAACAACAUGGCAAUUACGGAAUUGUGAUUUCUUCACUAAAUUGCUUCUCGGAUAAGAACUUCACCUUGAAGUAACUUGGAUUUUGGAGUGAUUUUGAUCAUCUAAGGAAAUCAUUCGUAAGACGUUCGAGGACUCGGGAAAAUGUAUAUAACUCCAUCGACGAGGUACGGUAGACGGAUUGUCGUGCUGUAGGAUACCAAAGUUCAGCAGGAAUGUUCACACUCCAUUCUCCGGAGUUGCUGGUUAGAGUCAUUAAAUAGGAUGCAUGCAUAUAUAUAUAUAUAUAGAGAGAGAGAGUAUGGACCACCAAGGUUGGGGUGUGACAAAGCAAGUUCGCCAAAGCAUCCAACAUGUCGUGAUUGCAACACCAAAUAAUAUCAAAGGUUAGUGAUGUGUUACAACUGCUAUAUUUUUUUCCUACAAAUUUGGAGAAAUGACUCACGGAUUUGAAUCGUAAAUAAAUUGAUUUCGAUCUAGAGCAUUGAGAUAAUAAUUUUCUAAAAUCCUAUGGCGAUUAUACUUAAUUCAUUUAAACCAUAAAAAUAUGAGAUUCAAGUGUCUAAAAUGGGUAAUUUUAACCUAUAGUUUUAAAAAAUGGAUUUGAGCAAUUGAUUAGUAACUGGACUCAAAAUAGUACUAAUAUAUUACAUAUUUGAUAGAGUGAGCUAAUGGGGAAUCCGAAUUUAUAAUUUAUUUUGGAUUGACUUUGACUAAGAUUUGGCUAAAACAUAUGGAAUUGUACCCGAUUAGUAUAAUUGACGUCUUUAAUUGAUAUUCUGCAUAGAUUAAGGUCAUUGAUGGCCGAUUGAAAGGAUAAUUAAACAUUUUGGGGCUAGGAAGCUUGCAGUUUUCGAAGUAAAUUAGACCUUUAGUCUCUCGAGUGCUUGCUUUUCUAAAAGCAUGAUUUAGCACUUACAUAGUUUCUUUCAAACUACCUAUUUGGGGCGAAUGCGUGCUAGUACAUGUAUAUUGUUUUAUCAACUUUCUUGAAAUUUGAUGUUUCUUCUAUGAAUUUAUACUUUACCCUUCUAUAUCAUUGAUUUGAUACUUCUAGAGACGUCACAGUACGAUUUAUGUCUGAUUUGACAAAAUUAAGCAUGACACAGAUGAUUGCACGUAUAUGAUUGACGAUAUGAAAUAUGUGAUUUAUUCGUGUUAUUAGAAAUGCCUUCACUUGGACGUGUUACACAUAGAUGGUAGGGUCACUUGCGAGAGAAAGGUUAACUAUAAACGGUCUUUGACCGCGCAUAGCCCCACCUGCAUGGUUUGUUGUGCUCCAUGAAUGUUCUGAUGAAACAUGGAUAUCUAUUUAUUCGUUGUAAUGUAAGAUCGAUAUCUAUUUAUUCAUUUAUACGGGCUGUUACCCUAUUGACUCUGAUGCAUCUAUCCACAAAGUAUGACGCCGUGUGGGGCGGUAAUCUUAUUACUAGGUCCUUGCGGCUCACUAUUUACUAUUUGAUGCAAAUUUUCUACUAGUACAGCAUUGGGACCAGUUGAUCCAUUUCAAGACCUUGCUUGCUUUUCAAUUGAGGUGAGACAACCACAAUAGUUCAUGGUGGUAUCUUCUACUUCUUCUUAUCAAUUUUUGGGAUGUGGCCUUUGAUCUUUGUAUUCAGAGUUUAUCGAUGCUACUUGACUAUGUUAUUUAGGAGUUCGGGUGGUUUUCCAUACUAAUUUUAUCUAUAAUAUUUUCCGCUACUUAUGAUACUAUGAGAUUAUUACCUACGAUAUGAAUAGUUAUUUUGAUCUAUGGAACACGUUCACUUACGAAAUGCUUAAAUUCACCUAAUUGGGUAGUAGCUCUUUAGGUACUAGUCGCGGCUCACAAAUUUGGAUCUUGACAACCGAACCAUUGGCCCGCUAGUUAGCAGAAUAUAAAACAAUCUGAUGGAACAGUCCACAAUAAGCAAGAGGCUGCAAUUCGAACUGCAAGAUCAAAGUAGACAAUGAGACCAAAUGUUGCCAAAUUCAGCUAUCCCCACUCCCUCGUCAAGUACUUGGAAAAAAUAAAAGGGAAAAAAGCAGACACAAAUCACCAAUGCUAGCUAAUGCGACAACUGGAACCAUUCAAAGGAUUUCUUCUUUGAUGCCAUAUUAUUAUUCAGUGCAUGAUGCAAAUAAAUUAUGCGUGUAUACUUUAUACAGUACAAUGUUUACACACUCCCUAUACCAUAUUGAGCUAAAUUAGUUUUUACAAAGUUUCUGUUAUAAUUCCUCAGAUUGCAAUGCCUACUUCUCAGUUCUCACCCAAUAACUGAAGUGAACAGGAUGUGAUGUUUUGGAUUGCGUACAAUCAUACAGGCGACUUGUGCCGUGUAAUUGUGUCACAGAUCUGAUACAACGAGAAUAUGAUCACAUCUGGGGUCUUGUCUGAACAACAUAAAUCUUU